GACGAACGCUGGCGGCGUGCCUAAUACAUGCAAGUAGGACGCAGUUGCGAACGGGUGAGGAACGCGUAGGAAACUACCUAUUAGAGGGGGAUAACUAUUGGAUACGAUAGCUAAUACUGCAUCAUAGGAGAUGGACUUGCGUUGUAUUAGCUAGUAGGUAGGGUAAUGGCCUACCUAGGCAACGAUACAUAGCCGGCCGUAGAGGGUGAUAGGCCACAAUGGGACUGAGACACGGCCCAGACUCCUACGGGAGGCAGCAGUAAGGAAUCUUCGGGAAUGGGGGGAAACCUGACCGAGCAACGCCGCGUGAGUGAAGAAGGUUUUCGGAUCGUAAAGCUCUGUUGUUUAGGAAGCGGUACUUAACCAGAAAGGGACGGCUAACUACGUGCCAGCAGCCGCGGUAAUAC
rnacentral:rRNA from 1 species